UAAGGGUAGUGCUUCACAACAACAGUCUUAUCUAUGGGCCACAAGCAUGUCCUCAUGAAACCAAUAUGUGGCUGCGAACAGGAUUGUGAACAUUUUAAACUCUUCUGUGGACAUUGUGUUGAAACGUUGUGUCUGUGCAGAAGUCAUGUCAGUUUUCAUGCUACCUCACCCUCUUUUUUCUCCACUCUAUCCUUCUCCAUUCAAACCUCUCACCCCAGCUCUGUCCCUACUGUGUCCUACAUAAAGAUGCCUGGAUCGACUAAAAAGUCCUGUAUCUCUUGCCCUACCAUGAUUGGCGUGGCAAGAAAGAAGUGCCACCUUUGUGGAAGAGAGCAGCCAUACAAGGCAAUUAAAAUGAAUAAGUUAAAAAAAAAUUGAAGAAAAACCACCAACAAAGGGCAAUGCCGUAAAGGCACUGGAUAGUGCCUUUAUUGAUUUACAUAAAUUGAAAGCAGUGGGGUUCUACCCCCUGCCGCUGGUGGCGAAGCAGAGGAACAAGAAAUUUAAGGCCCAGCUGCUCCACCUGGCAGCCAUCCAGGGAGACGAUGAAGGCCUUUGCAACAGUUAAAGUGGUCUUCGAGUCCGUCCUCAACUACUGUUCCUAUUGCCACCAGGAAAUCGUUGAUGGCAAUGUCCUUCGUGAAAGACAUCAAAAGGUUUGUAUAGGAGGGAAAAAUGAGUGCAUUACCAGUAGAUUGGCUAUUAUUUCAGUUAAAGUGGGGUAGCAUACUGGCUAAGGAACUAUGCUAGCAUUAAUUAACCAGAAAAGUUGUGGGUUCCAUUCCCAGUUGUCACUGUUGUGCCUUUGAACAGGACACUGAACUUCUACAGUAGUUGAUCUUGGGGAAGCUGGCCCUUGCAAUAAUUGACAUAUGGAAGUUGCUUUGGAGAAAAGUGCUACAUACAACUACAAAUUCAAUUCCAAGAAAUUACCACUGCAUGAAAAUGCAAAAAAAAAAUAAAAAAAGUAAAAUAUAAUAUGAGUCAUUCCGUGUUAAAUCAGAUAAAAAUCCUUGAAAAUGUUUGGUGGACAAUCUCAGAUUUAGCUCAAAGUUUGUUAACCUAACAUUUAGGGCCCAAAACUAAGACCUGUUAAAUUCCAAUGUUUUCACCCUUGACUUUUAUCAUUUUUACAGUCUCUGAAAUGCCUUAUCUUUAACCUUCACAAACUUAUUAGGGUGGAACACAGACAUGUUCUUGGUAUGAUUGGACCGUUAUAAUGUUGUACUGCAUGCCAAUUAGUUUCAUAUAAGGGUCUGAUAUGGAAACAUGUAAAACUGGUGAUAUUGAGGGCCUUGUGAUUUAAUUUUGCAGAACUUAAGUCAAUGAACAGCAUUCAUACAUAGGUGUUGCUAUUGUCAAGGUGGGACAAGGCAGAGUGAAUUGUCAUAGAGUGCUUUGGCACCAGCACUAUGGAGGUUUUAAAGCACGCUGGGACAACUGCCUGGGCUAUUGACAGAUUAAAUAUGUCAGUCCAAACCUCAGUCAACUGCUCAGCACAGGCCCUGAGUGCGCGUCCGGGGAUACCAUCAGGACCAGCAGCCUUUAUUGUAAUAUUGCGGGGAGAGAGAGGGAGAGCGAGGUAGGAGGCGGACGAUGGAGCACUAGAGCGGAGGACCGGAGGACAGGUGAGGGGUCAGGAACUGAGAGGAGCCCCGGCUGGGGAGCGGGGAGGAGACACUGGCACACGGAGGAGCGGAGAGGAGGCUGGUGAAGAGCGGCCGAAGAGCGGAUGCUGAUACGAGAAGAGGGCGCCGAGGGAGAGGGUCCGGAGCCAGCUGACCGGAGGAGAGGAUUACUGAAAAGUAGAGCAAGGAAGCCGAAAAGAUGACGAAGCUGCAGGCAUUGGAGAGGUCACUGAGAAGUUAGAAGAGCUUGUGCUGGCAUCCCAGAGCCUUCCAGAUAUCACUGCAGCAAUCAGAGAGCUCACCAACCUGGCUGCCACUCAGAGAGUCAUCCUGAAUCAUCCACAGCUACAGACCAUCAAGCAAGGACUCUGCUGUGUUGUUUGUAUAACUAAGUAUGCAAUAGAUAUUGUCCCACAUGAAAGAUAAUUCUGGAUCUAUUUUAUUUUUUGUGUGACAGAAUUUGAGCUUUCCAAAUACAAAUCAUUUUUACAUUCUCUACCCAAGAUCAGCUGUCUCAUCCACAACAAUUAACUGCAUCUACUGAUGCAAACCUUUUUGUACCAGCUCAUAGUGUAAUGUUACAAAAACAAAGUGUAAUGUUUAAGCACUAAAGUUGUACACUUGUUUAGUAAAAAUAAUAAUAAUAAUAAUAAUUUAUUUGACAGGGACAGUGUACAUUAAUCAACAUUGCUGUAAAUGCACCAGAAUUAGCCAAAAGGCUAUUUUUCAUCCGUUGUCCCUGGACAGAUCUUAAAAUUGUCUCCCUAAAAAACAACAACAAUAAGAAAAUUACAGUCAACAAUACAAAUAAAAAAGUAGUAAAACAGAUAAAACUCUUUAAAACACGUUGAUAAAUACAGUCUACAAAUGUAAUACAGACAUUAGGGAAAAUAAAAAUAAAAAAGAUACUACACAAUAGAGACACAAGUUGCAGCACGGUUGGGUAGAGUGAAAAUACAUUUUCUUAUUAAUGCCGACAUGUCUGAUGUGUUAUGAACCAGCUUUUUAGAUGUUUUUUGAACAGAGUGUAAGUGGUGAGGUCUCUGAUGUUCUGAGGGACAGAGUUCCACUCCCGUGCUGCUGUGACUGAAAAGGCACUCUGACUAAAUGCACUUCUCCGCAGAGGAACAACACAGUCUCCUCGGGCCGACCCUCGUGUUACUCUCUGUGUGGAGUUCCUAAUAAAAUAAUAAAACACUAUCAUCCAAUACAUGAAGAAAACUUUGAGGACAGACGGGAUAAAUGAGAAAGACAAAUAUUUUGUCUUUUAGAGUUCAUCGAGGAGCCCGUCUUCACACUGUGUUGUCGAAGCAUUAUUGGUUGCACAACAUGUGUGGAACAGUGGCAGGAGACGUCUGUGCACUGUGCAAAAUGCAGAGAGAACACAGCGGACAACCACAUACUUCAGGUUAAUGGUCUGUCAGAGGCAUUUUCUGUUCUAAGAUCCCUUUUUGAAGAGGAGUAAGAUUUUGCAGUGUUUAAGUUUGUUUUAUCAAUUCAAUGUGUCGGUCAGAGUUCUUGUACAAGUGAUGUGAAAUUGUUUUUGUUGAAAAUGUGACUACUGUUCUUAUUGACAUCACUGUUUUUACUGAUUUAAACAGUUUCAAGUCAUUUUACUUUUGUCAGUAAUUCACAUUCUGUAGUUCAAAUAGAGCAAAUGGUUUUCACACAUUGCGCUGAGGUAUUGUUAUGAGAUAGAGCAAUGCCUCUUUGUAUGGAGCAAAGUCAUUGUUAACCGCUCUAGAGAACAAGUUUCAAAUGUCUGAAUAUUUCUCUGCAAACUGAUUCUCGACGGCAAGUUUGUCCUGUUCAGUUAAAAAUGGAUCAACUCCAAAAGUAGAAUGGGUUGUCAGUGAAGAUCCCAGCUGGCAAUAUCAUAUUGUGAUGGCAAUAUCAAACAUAAAUUAUAAAUACAGUAUUGCAUCACUUCAAAGUGCUGCAGAGAUAGGUUGCAAGAAUCUUAAAAAA